UUGACCUCGGAUCAGGUAGGAAUACCCGCUGAACUUAAGCAUAUCAAUAGCCCGGAGGGAA
rnacentral:rRNA from 1 species